UUUCCGUACCCACUGUAUAUGGAAAGCAACCACACACAUUUCGGCCGCUGUUUGUUCCUGGGCUUUUGGAAAAGAUGCUGAAUUUCUGAUGGGAGCCAUGUCUCCAACCUUCAGUGUGUUGGGCUCACUGAAACGCCAGAGGGAAUCAAAGAUUGUGAACUUCUUGAGAGAUUUCAUCCAGAGCAUUGAAAAUGAAGAGGAGGAAAAGUGCAUCAUGAUAGAGAGGGAGACCACGAAGGCCAUGAAGAAAACGGUGUGAUGUUGAAGAUGGACAUGGGAGAGAGAUGGAGAAGAGAUGGAGAAACGCAAGAUCACUGUUGGUUGCAUCCUUCAAUGGCUUACUGGACAGGCACAUGUUCUCAUCACCUCAACAGAGCGGGAGAGAUUCAGGAUACAAAUAGAAUUUGACCGCGAUUGCGAAGUGCGCUAUGGUACACACACCAUAUACUUAGUAGUCUUAUACCGGUACCAGUACCAGUAGUCAAGUGCUUUCCUCUUACAGCUUUUAUUACAGUUAAUUGGGCAGUUUUCAAUAAAGCAGUCCUGCCUUUAGCGUAACAUUAAAUUGGCAUAAUGUCAAUGUUCAAUAUGUGAAGACUGUUACUGAACUAUUGAAAGUGUUGAGCAAUUAAUAAGAACAUUAAAUCUCCAAUAUUACAAUUUUUUUUUAAUGUAGAAAAUGGUAAAUCAUAAAGAACCUGUUUUCUGAGAAUUUGAGCUAUUUGUGCUUUACUCUAGUAUUUCCUUUUUAAGAAACUACGUCUUUAAACUCCACUGCAUGGUAGACUAAACAUGUAAAAACCACAUGUUAAAUGCAGGACUUUUUAUAUACUUGUAGAGUAUAAUCAGUGUGGUAUUGGUACUUCUAUGUAAGUAACUGUUCUGAAUACUUCCACCACUGGCUGGCACUAUAUAAUUCAUAAUAUAAUUCAUGUCUAUUUUCAAAAUGAGAACAAUGUUACUAUCCAGGAAAAAAACACCAUAGCAAAGUCUCAUUGGCAGGUACAUGAAAGUAAUAUAAAAAUAUGAUACUUUUCAUCUUCACUGUAUGCUUGAGGAUGGAAACAAGUGUUUUCUUUGCCUGAAGGCUGAUCUUCAUUACUACAGUUAGAUACAGGACAAGACCUUUUCCAACCGCUCAUGCGGACAAGUAAUUGCAUAUGCAUAUUACUAUAUUAGUUUGAAUGUAAACUAUAGAUCUUAGU